rnacentral:misc_RNA from 1 species
GGAAGUAAAAGUCAUAACAAGGUUUCCGUAGGUGAACCUGCGGAAGGAUCAUUCAUAAUAAAGUGUUUUAUGGCACUUUUUAAAAAUCCAUAUCCACCUUGUGUGCAAUGUUAGAUCUCGUCAAUCUUGGCGAGAUUUUUAUACAUCAACUCAUUCUUUAACUAAUUUGUCUGAAAAAUAUUAUGAAUACUUAAUUCAAAAUACAACUUUCAACAACGGAUCUCUUGGCUCUC